ensembl:lncRNA
AUUGCAUUGUUCCUAAUAGUAGCCUAUAGGAACAAGCAACCGGGGGAGGAGGGGGGGAGACGCAUCACACCUAGAUAAUAGAUAAACAAUCACUUGGCAAAUAUUGGAGAAGCAAUUGAAACACAAUGCCAUAUAUCUAUGCCCCAGGCUGUAUUUAAAUAGCCCGAGGUGGGAAUAAAGAGGUCUAAAGUGCCUUGAAUAGUUAAAAAGCUCUUUCCAAGAAAGGAUGCAAUCAGUUGUCAGUAGGUGUUCCAAACACAAGAGAAUACCCAGUUUCUAUUGCAUCUGUUUCUUUUGCGUCCGUCCUCUCCCAGCAAGAGCUUCUUCUCCACAAGCACUGGCAACUUCUCUGCCCUCCCACCCCCGUGCUGCUCUUCCAGUCAGCAGCCCGGCUCUGUGCUGGGUGUUCGAACUGCUUGGAAAUCCUCCUGCCUGCACAAGAACAGCCAUAAUGUCCUGCAGAGCUGGCGUGUGUGAUUUCUUGAGAACAGCGGUUGCGUUUCCUCUUCGUAACUCUGUGGUGCCAAUGGGCAUGUGGAAAACCUUGGUAGAAACCAUCCCUUUGGUGUGUGAGGUUGCCACAGCAGGGCUUACUGACAGGGACUUGAAACUUGCCUCCGCUUUACUCUCAGUUCCACAUUUUUGCUGCAACAGUUGUGUCGAGGCCCAGAAUCACUUCACAGGAUGAGGUCUCUUGCAGUGUUUUGUCUGAAUUCACAGGGACCAGAGAGGCCCCUAGGUAGGAUGGUAUUUGUCUUUGCUCAAUAUGUCUUGCUCGAACAGUUAGCAUUGUGUUAAGUGGUAGAAACUUUAGUUAGCUUGAAAGCUGAAGCAUAGACAAAUGGAGUGGGCUGAUUCUAACUGACUCAGCAGCUGUUUUUCAUGGAUAGGUAAAACAAAGUCUUUGUGGGCAGGGUAUUCUUUUGCAUAAUCUGCUAUAGAAGUUCCAGAUGUUUUUUCUUUGCAGUGUUUCUUUGCAGAUGUUAUUUUUUUCUCGCAUUUCUUCCUAUUUCUAUACAAAGAAAGAUUUUUGCUGAAUUGUUCUGAGCAUUUUAAAUCUGUUGUACAUACUCACCAAAUACUCCUUUUUUUUUUUUGUUCAUCGGGGGACUGUUGUCAUGCAUCCCAGAACAGGUUUGGAUCCAUCCAGAGUCAUGCUUCUGAAUAACUGUAACGGUGGAUAUGUGACUGUGCCUUACCACUGCCUAUGUAGUAAAGAAGGAAUAUCCUCAGACUUGGAUCUUUGCAUCCUAAAGCAUGGUAGUGGAGGGGAAUCGUGUGCCAUAUCUUCCUGCUUUCCAAUCCAAGAUGCCAAAGUCUACCGGAGCACACAGUUGACUAGUAUAAAAUGAUACAUGCAGACCAGAAGUGGAAUACAUAUUGAUCAGAAGUUGAGUACGUGCUGACAAACCACCUCAAAAAAAACACAGUAACUCAGUUGGCUGGAUCCAUAUGGAGCUGAUGAACCUCUGAAUGAAUAGUGAAUGGAAAAACUGCUGGAAUCUGCCUUCAGCUUUGUUCCCAGGAUGACCAAUGUAAAAGGCCUAAGAGCAAUACUGCACAGAUGGUGUAAAGAGGGCUCCACCUGAAACCAGAUAUUGAUAUCCUCUUUCUUUGAGCAUGGUGGAGACACCUUCAAAAGUGGGUAAUUAAGAUGAUCCUUAUUUUGAUCUGAGCUUAUCUUCUAGAAAAGGUCCAAGAACAAACAGCCACGAAGACUUUGGUGCCAGCAGGCAGUUGCAGACUAGUAAAAGGUCACCUUUUAAGAGGCAGUGAGCUGUGUCGUACUGUUUGAAGGAUCCUGAAAACUUGCUGCUGAACAGCAUUCAGUGUGGCAAAGGAGUAGAAAAUGUCUUCUCUUACCUGCUGACAGUUGAGUGACCCAGCUGUAACUCCUUCCUUGCUGCUGCUCCUACUACACUGACAAAGGAGAGGAAACAUUUGCAGCAAGCCCUGCAGCAGAGAAUGGAUCCAUAGGGUACUUGGCUACAUGGUGCUGUCUGGGGCCCAGUUUAACCUCACCUUGUCUUUCCAGCAGUCCCAGAACUCUUGAAAAAUGUGGGUGGAGAUCCAUUACACAUGCUUACUCGCCAUGAAAAACAGUGUGAACAGCCAACACAGACUCCAGGUGGUGGAUCAGCAUUAAUCAUAAUAGACCCAGGGGCAGAGGAUUGGCAGGAUACCACAAGAAAUGGUUGUAUGUCCAUCUCCUUGAACUCUGUGACCUCUGGUGGGGGACAGAGAUAUGAAGGCCGGUGUCGCUGGCUUUGUCUUCUAUUCUAGCUAUCAUAAACCACGAUGUGCUGUACGUAUGUAUCCUUUUGCCUGCAGGAAAGGGGUGUGUGAUGUAAUCCUCUGGUAGUAGAUAUAGGCAUUCUGGACUUUUUUGAGAGCUUUCACAGAAAGAAAGGUAGAAACAUGUCCUUCAAAUUCAGUUGGAUUUACUAGGAGCAGCUUUCAUUUUGUCACAUACCAGCCUAAACGCUCAUGUAGAUGAUAAGCCAGAAAAAUGAAUAUCUCCUCUUUCCUCUCUUCCUCACUUAUCUGUUUGCAUGUAUUUCUUCCUGUCUGACCCAGAAAGAGAAAUGGUGUGGAUGUGGAGAAAUAGAAGCAGGAGCGUUCAGCACAUUGGUGGUGUGCUCACAACAGGCCAGUUGUGUGAGAUAUGCAAGCCUUGUACCAACUAGCAAGAGAAGAAGUGUGGGCUUGUGGUCGGCAUUGUGGCCGAGCUGUAGCUGGUAGAGCAGCUGCAGAGGCAGCCGGGCCGAGCUGGCUGUGAGGAGAUGGGGAAGUAGAUGGGCUCUGGCCAGUGCCCAUCCCUCCCCCUUCCCUCCACACAGAGUUGUGCAGGGAGCUCUUUUGUUCAGAGGAUGUUAGGACACAAGCGGUGCCUCCUCUGAACCACAGAGAGGAACAGCUACCAGAGUUGCUGAAAUGGGGACUGCUAGAUACUGUGACAGCUUGCUGCAGUUCUGGAGGAUUUUCUGCGCCCCAUCCUCUUUCACUGGAGCUCCAGCUCCAUCUUCCCACUCCCCACAGCCCUUUCACUUCCUAUGUGCUCCAAGUCUAUUCUGUUUUAUCUUUAGUUCUCCUAGCCUGUGUCUCCUUACAUCUUUCCAUAUUAAUCCCUUCUCUCUUUUCCCUGUCAGGAAAAAAACAAACAAACAAACAAACCAAGAGUGGAACUCUUUCCAGGUUCUGUUUCCAGGUUGUUUCUGUUGAACACGUUUGCAUGUUGGGUUACUGCAUUUCCUCCAGCCUCCAUCGCUCUUUGUUUUGCCUGUGAGAGCUCCAGGCAGGGGCUGGCUGCAGCUCGGUGUGUACAGAGCCUACUGAGACUGAAGGCGCUCCGUUCUCAGUAGUCCUUAGGCACUGAUGUUGUAAGCAGAAUUAAUAGUGAUUUGACUGGAUGCAAUUGCCAGUGUGGCCACAGACUUACAAUGUAACUGUGGGAAAAUGAGUCUCUUGGUGUCUCUGAUCGCUAUCUGUAAAAUAAUACUUUCCUUCCAGCCUUUAAGUAAGAAUACCUGGUUAAAACUAAAUUGGAUUUUUAAAUCUCUUCCACCGUUAUUAAUCUUUUGUGUGAUUAGCAAGGCAAGUUAGCUAUGCAGUUGCUUUUAAAUGGUAAAUUUCAGUCUUACCUGUCUGCUUCUCAGAUAUUCUGUGUUGCCAGCAUGUGAUGUGUACUGAUUUGCAGUUCAUGUGUCCAUGUGUGUACACAACAUGCUUACGUCAGCUACCUUACUGCUCCUCCUUUUGAGGAUCCCUCUGGAAAACUGCAAGAAUAAGGCAUCUCAGAAAAGACUCUUGCAAGCUUUGUGUCUUUCUACCAACUUGAGUCUGCUGUAGCUGCACAAGGAGGGAAGGUAUAACAGUGAAGACACAUGUAUCUGUGCGUUCACAUGACUGGCACAUUUGUAAACUAGAAAGGAGACAACAGUCAGAGCUUAUUGCUACUGCGUGCUAUCACUCAACAGCGUUACUCAUGUGGAACAGUGCGAUGAGUGCAGGGCAAUGUGUGCUAAAAUCCUACUUACAUAUCUCAUGGAAAUAAAAUAUGUGCUAUUAAUUAUGAAUCACAAAUAUAUUUUAAGAUCCUCUGAUUAAAGGCAGUAUUGAAAUAUAAAGCAUUACAACAGAACUGUGCUAAUUUGCAUGGUUGACUGGGAGACCCUUUGUGGUUGAAUUAAUUUUGCAAUUUAGUAAGUUAACAUACACAGUACAGCAAAGCUCAUGCAUUACAAAUUGCAAUUAUUCAGUGUAUUUUGACAACAGUAUCUCUAUUUUAGUUAUUUACAAUGCUUAAUGACUUCCUAGUGGUUGCUCAAUAGCAUCUCUUUUAUGAAAAUCAAUGACAUCUUAUUCAGACAGUCAGAAAGGGGUCAGGCAUAUGGGGAUGCUGGGCAGAGACUAAGGUAGGGGUCCCUUUCUUCUCUCACCUGCACACUGGCUGCUUGCCAGUGCUGUCUAGCUCAGCCUGCUGUCUCUUCUCCAAAGAGCCUAUACAACCAGCACUAGGUCUUGAUUAUGGACUAAAGAGAGAUAUUCUUUGUAUAUAAUGCAUGGCGUACAGAUUAGUGUGACCCAUACAAUGGUUUUGUUGGUACGUGCUUGUUAGUGGUCAAAUAAUAGAUGAAAAGAUGCUUUGUCUGUAAAUCUAUGUUUACAAGUUUGGAAAUAUAGUCACCAUAAAGAGCCAGGAUUGAUCCCAGGCAUUGCUGGGAGGUGCAGUUCCUAUAGGUAGGGUAUGAAGGGGACAUGACUGGGGAGCACAGCACUGUGUCCCUGCCAAGGGAGUGGAAUGGACGCCUGGUGCAGCUCAGCACCACUGAUAGAAAUCACUGAGUAAGAAUGUCUUGUUUGUGGAUGUGUUGUUUCCCUGCUCAGGGAAGAAGGAGUGCUCAAGUCUGAAAUACUCCACAUCAGUUCCUAGUGUUUCAGCAAAGAUGUGCCCUCGCAGCCCAGAAAGCCAACUGUAUCCUGGGCUACAUCAAAAGAAGUUUGGCCAACAGGUUGAGUGGGGUGAUCCUGGCCCCCUGCUCUGAGCUGUUGAGACUUCACCUGGAACACUGCAUCCAAGUGUGGAGUCCUUGGUACAGGAGAGACUUGUUGGAGCGUGCCCAGAGGAGGGCCACAAAAGUGACCCAAGGGAUGGAACACCUCUUCUAUGAGGACAUGCUGAGAGAGCUGGGGUUCAGCCUGGAGAAGAGAAGGCUCUGAGUUGACCUGAUAGUGGCCUUUCAGUAUCUACAGGGGAGCUACAAGAAAGAAGGGGACGGACUCUUUAGCAGGAUCAGUGAUAAUAGGACAAGGGAAAAUGGUUUCAAACUAAAAGGAUAGAUUUAAGUUGGAUAUAAGGAAAUAGUCUUUUACAGUGAGAGUGGUGAGGCACUGGCACAGGUUGCCCAGUGAUGUGGGGGAUGCCCCAUCCCUGGAGAUGCUCAAGGUCAGGCUGGACAGGGCUUUGUGCAACCUGAUGUCACUGUAGGUGUCCCUGUUGAUUGCAGGGAAGUUAGUCUAGAUGGCCUUAAAAGGUCCCUUCCAUCUCAAUUGAUUCUGUGAUUCUAAAGUAAAAGUGAGGAUCUUUGGUAUUUGACAAAUGGUAUUUGCUCAAAUGACACAAAUAGUCAGUCUUUCAGAGGAUACAAUUUUAAAUAUCAAAUUGUUUGUUGUACAGGUGUUAGUAUUUAAAAUACUUGCUGCUAAGUAAAAAAUACCUUACAACCUAGCAACCCAAUGAGCAAGAUCUCCUAAAGUUGUGAUAAGACUCUACCUCAUGUAGUUCCCCUUUUUGGCCCGAUGGAUCUGAAAUUUGCACUCUCAAAAUUAACAGGAAACCAUCUGGAUUUUCUUUGAGCUCAGCACAUGAGAUUAUAUCCCUUUUUUUUUCUGACCAGCAGCAUCAUCUCUCCAGCCCCUCUCACCAACACCUCUGGCAGAAAUGCAUUUUGAAGCUCUUUCUAUUCCAGGCAACCCAGGCAUGUGUUUUGUAAAAGUGCCAAAGCCAAUAGUUUCUGCUGUUUUCAGGGUGCUGGUGGUAGAGAAUAUUCUCUCAUAGCUUAAUGCUUCACCUGGCAUUUGAUACACAGGGCUCAGCGUUGUGAUAAGCAGUAUUUUGUUGGUUUCCUGGUACAGUGCAGGUGCCACAGGCCAUUGAACAAGUCCUUGCUCUUGCUGGACGGAUGUCUCUUUUUUCAAAGGGAAUUCCCAACCCUUUCUGCUCUGCCCAGGUGCCUGUGCUGCUGCACUAUUCCUCCUUCCACCCACAGGGAAGUCAGCACUUCCCUCAGUGCUGGGCUUGGCCUGAGGCCUACAUCACUGCUCUCACCUUGUCUUGACUAAAAGCAAAGCUUGUCCGCAGCCAGUAUAAAUAUAGAUUAGGAAAUAAAGCACAGCUAUGUUCAUCAUUUCAAUCUGCAGGCUCAGCAAGGCCCUCAAUCAAGUUAGGUCUAGUACUAAUUUAUUGGGAGACCAUACGCACUAACACAAUCCAUGUGGGUGUACCCAUCUUCUUCUACCAAGGCACCAUCCACCAUGCUCCACCAUCUCAGGUGGUCUGUCGCCAUGGAGCCUCUGCUGUGAAGAUAAGAAGACUUGAAAAAGAUCCAUAAGACUAGGAACAACAAGAAAAAAAAUUUAGAGAUGAGUGUGUCUGAGCUUACUGUGUAUGAGACUCCUGACACACUACAUGGCCCAAGCCCUAGCCACUUCUGGGGGCACCAGAGAGCAGUCGUGACUUGGAAGCUAAACCUAACCCCAGAGUAGACGUUAGUGCUUUUGCUUCCAGAGGAACCUGGUCUCACUCUCACCUUCUUUCUUGUUAGUACCACUGUUUAUAUUUUGGGGUGUAUGAAGGGGAACAGUCGGUAUCUUGUUUUACUUUAGUCUGAGGAAAAUCUAUUUCAGUGCCUGAGGAAGGAACUGCUGGCUGCAGGUGUUCACCAAAGAUGUGUUCCUCUUUGCCCCUGUGCUCCUGGAGGGGAAUUCAGCAAAAAGGACCCACAUGUGGAGCCCAGUCCCUGACUUCCCCAAAGCUAUAUAAACACAGCAGAAAUGCCAAUGGGUCCCGGUGACCUGAGGGUGUGCCCAGAGCAUGGGGCAGAGAUACCAAAACUGGCAACCAUGGGGCCUCCAGCUGCAGGCAGCAUGGCUGUGCUGUGCGUGUGGCCUGGCUGGGCCACCUCUGGGCCUGCUGGCAUGGCCAGAACAUGGCUGUUGGUACUGGGCCGUCCCUGGGCCAGAGGUGGCUGCACUGCCCUCCUUCACAUGAGAAUGCUGCCUGUGUCGUUUCUCAAUUCAUUUCUGCCUUCCUUUCUAUAUGUUUAGGCAACUGAAACAGUGUGAAAGGUGAAGGCAGUGUUGAUAGAUGUUUUAUCAGCUGGGGUUUCAAUGCGGUGUCUGAGGGCUCAGGCUGGCACCGUACAUAGUGCUGAGCAGGACUGCUCAGAUUGAUAAUAGAAAAGAACAUGAGAUGAUGCUUUCCAUCUCAGACCCACAAACUGAGGAAGGUGAGCCUUUCCUUAAUGGCACUGAGGAAUGAUCAUAUGAAAUCACGUGAUCCCCUUUACGUGACAUGUUUACUCUGUUUUCAAAACCUAGUUUGUGCUGGAUGUUCCUAGUUCACAUGUGAGGACUCAUUCACAGAAACUUUGAAGGCGAUGAGCAGCAAGUAUCAAUAUGUGAAUAACGAAUGAAUAAUGCAGAGUAGUCUGAGGCACAUUUGUCACUAAUGGCUUGCUAGCAUCUCACAGGCUGUUAUUUGCCCACUUAAACUCUGACCUGGUAAAACCCUUGAACACAUGCAGGAAUAAUUUCACUAAAAAUAUUUUCAUUUACUUUCUUACCAUGUCAGUUGUUCCUGUGAAGACGAUGUGUUUACGCUCAUGCUACGGGCAUUGCAUUGGGCAUCACUCUUUCACAUACUCACAGAAAUGUUUUGUCUGUGGUGAAAUAUGUCACCUCCUUUCUUGAGCUGAAUAUUUCAUUCUGCUCAAUCACAAGUCUAAUACCAGAGUGAAUUAAGUGCAUCAACGGAUCAGGACUGAAAUCUACAAUGAAUGUGAUUACUUAAAAAUAAUCAUAUCAGCAGUAGUUUAGAGAUGUCAUUUUUUGUGGGCAUGUACGUUCUUUGUAUGGAUAUAUAAAACAGCGUGUGGGAAUGUGAUGCUGUUUAACUCAUAAAGGGAGAGCAAAAUUUUAUUGGUCACUGUAAAUAUUUGUUCAAGGAAAAGGAGACGAGGUGAGAACAAUCCGCAUGAAAAGAAACCACAUUAGUACCCAGAACAUUGAAAAUAUUGUUCAAGGACAGUUUAUCCUUGUGGAAAAUAUGACCCCCUGUAAAGCUGCUGAGUCUGUUUGCAGAUCAUUUCAAAAUAGAGUCCUCGCAUUUGCCAUUUUAGUUUGUUUUGGCUGUUGGUGUCCAAACUACAUUCCUAGCAAAUUGCAUGAAGUGCUUAUUCCAUUAUUUCUAUUGUUAUGUUUCUCAAUAGAAUGUGGUUAUCUUGAGCUAGUGUCAUGCUUUAGUACAUUAGCACUAAAAUGCGCUGAUGGUCUCGCAAAGAGAGUAAGGGGAGGCUGACAUUGAACUGAUACGCUAUACCUUCUGUCUGGAGAUUCCAAAGUCAGAGGUGGAUUUCAGUUUAAAAUGAAGAAGUAAUAUUUGCAUUUUUUUUGUUUUAAUAAUCUGCUCUCCUCUUAUGAAACCACGACCUGUGCCAGUUCCUAUACAUUCUGCUCAAUCUCUGUCCAGGUGCCUGGAUUAGCUUGAGUGGUCCUAACUGGUUUUUGGAUGAGAGGUGUUUUAAUCUGCUCUGAAUUUAUAUUUUGCACGGCUUCAGUUUUCACAUAAUGAGCCAGCUUUAUCUGUCAUGUGCACAGUUCUGCUUUCUUCAUGUCCCAGUUCAUAAUUUUGUUACAUGCCUUUUGUCCAUAGAAAAUAAAGGAAUCGGGGAACUGAAAUUGAAUUAGACCCAAAACGUGCUUGAGUUUCCUGUUUUUCUUGUAUUAAAAUACUUUUUCUAUUGAGACCCAACAUGCAGCAGUUUCCUAACCACAACCACAAGGACUGAGAGAACACGGAGUUUUGUCACACAGCACAGUGUAAGGGGCAGAUCUGAAAGUGGACUGGGG